GCGGGUAUCGUAUAGCGGUUAUUAUGGAUGCUUGCCAAGCAUCAGAUGGCGGUUCGACUCCGCCUACCCGCA
rnacentral:tRNA from 1 species